UACGGAGGGUGCGAGCGUUAAUCGGAAUUACUGGGCGUAAAGGGUGCGUAGGUGGUUUGAUAAGUUAGCUGUGAAAUUCCUGGGCUCAACCUAGGGAGGUCAGCUAAGACUGUUAGACUUGAGUAUAGGAGAGGGUAGUGGAAUUUCCGGUGUAGCGGUGAAAUGCGUAGAUAUCGGAAGGAACACCAGUGGCGAAGGCGACUACCUGGCCUGAUACUGACACUGAGGCACGAAAGCGUGGGGAGCAAACAGG
rnacentral:rRNA from 1 species